rnacentral:misc_RNA from 1 species
AUUAUAAAUCAAGGAAUCAUCAAGUCAGGUUGUCUGUAGAAUUAAGCAAAAGGCCAGUUUGCAUUUACGCUCCCGCAUAUCCGCUAUACGCAGGGUCCCAGAAGGGCCCGACCACAAGGACCUAUUGUAAGCUUCUCGAAUAUGGAAACAAAAGGCUCUCUCUAGUGCAACAAACAUCAUUACGAUCAGUUUAGUGUAUUCAUUUUCUCUCCAGGACCAUGAUUAUAG